rnacentral:rRNA from 1 species
CCUCCAGACUCCUACGGGAGGCAGCAGUGAGGAAUAUUGGUCAAUGGGCGCGAGCCUGGACCAGCCAAGUCGCGUGAGGGAUGACGGCCCUACGGGUUGUAAACCUCUUUUGUCGGGGAGCAAAUUCCGUUACGUGUAACGGAGUCGAGAGUACCCGAAGAAAAAGCAUCGGCUAACUCCGUGCCGGCAGCCGCGGUAAUACGGAGGAUGCGAGCGUUAUCCGGAUUUAUUGGGUUUAAAGGGUGCGUAGGCGGACAGUCAAGUCAGCGGUAAAAAUGCGGUGCUCAACGCCGUACAGCCGUUGAAACUGGCAGUCUUGAGUGGGCGAGAAGUAUGCGGAAUGCGUGGUGUAGCGGUGAAAUGCAUAGAUAUCACGCAGAACUCCGAUUGCGAAGGCAGCAUACCGGCGCCCGACUGACGCUGAGGCACGAAAGCGUGGGUAUCGAACAGGAUUAGAUACCCGCGUA